UACGUAGGUGGCAAGCGUUGUCCGGAUUUACUGGGUGUAAAGAGCGCGCAGGCGGUCGUUCAAGUCGCGUGUGAAAGCCCCCGGCUCAACUGGGGAGGGUCACGCGAUACUGAUCGACUCGAAGGCAGGAGAGGGAAGUGGAAUUCCCGGUGUAGUGGUGAAAUGCGUAGAUAUCAGGAAGAACACCCGUGGCGAAGGCGGUUCUCUGGGACGGUACUGACGCUGAGACGCGAAAGCGUGGGGAGCGAACAGG
rnacentral:rRNA from 1 species